GACGAACGCUGGCGGCGUGCUUAACACAUGCAAGUCGAACGGAAAGGCCCUGCUUUUGUGGGGUGCUCGAGUGGCGAACGGGUGAGUAACACGUGAGUAACCUGCCCUUGACCUUGGAUAACUUCAGGAAACUGGGGCUAAUACCGGAUAGGAGCUCCUGCUGCAUGGUGGGGGUUGGAAAGUUUCGGCGGUUGGGGAUGGACUCGCGGCUUAUCAGCUUGUUGGUGGGGUAGUGGCUUACCAAGGCUUUGACGGGUAGCCGGCCUGAGAGGGUGACCGGCCACAUUGGGACUGAGAUACGGCCCAGACUCCUACGGGAGGCAGCAGUGGGGAAUAUUGCACAAUGGGCGGAAGCCUGAUGCAGCAACGCCGCGUGCGGGAUGACGGCCUUCGGGUUGUAAACCGCUUUCGCCUGUGACGAAGCGUGAGUGACGGUAAUGGGUAAAGAAGCACCGGCUAACUACGUG
rnacentral:rRNA from 1 species